UACGGAGGGGGCUAGCGUUAUUCGGAAUUAUUGGGCGUAAAGGGCGCGUAGGCGGCCCGGUAAGUCAAAGGUGAAAUCCCUCGGCUCAACUGAGGAACUGCCUUUGAAACUGUCGGGCUUGAGGCCGGGAGGGGGUAGCGGAAUUCCCAGUGUAGCGGUGAAAUGCGUAGAUAUGCGGAGGAACACCGAUGGCGAAGGCAAUCCCCUGGGCCUGCACUGACGCUCAUGCACGAAAGCGUGGGGAGCAAACAGG
rnacentral:rRNA from 1 species